rnacentral:rRNA from 1 species
AAGGGAGAGGAAUAAGUAGAAAUCUACCCUCGGGUCGGGGAUAGCGGCGGGAAACUGCCGGUAAUACCCGAUAACGUCUUUGGACCAAAGGUGUGAUUCCGUCUGAGGAUGAGUCUACUUCCUAUUAGCUAGUUGGCGGGGUAAUGGCCCACCAAGGCAACGAUGGUUAGCAGGUGUGAGAGCAUGACCUGCCUCAUUGGGACUGAGACACUGCCCAGACACCUACGGGUGGCUGCAGUCGAGAAUCUUCGGCAAUGGACGAAAGUCUGACCGAGCGACGCCGCGUGCGGGAUGAAGGCCUUCGGGUUGUAAACCGCUGUCGGAGGGGAACAAACGUACGGGGGUUCUCCCCUGUAUUUGAGUGAACCUAGGAGGAAGGAGAGGCUAAGCUCGUGCCAGCAGCCGCGGUAAGACGAGCUCUCCGAACGUUAUUCGGUAUCACUGGGCUUAAAGAGUUCGUAGGCGGUCUGGUAGGUGAGGUGUGAAAUCCCCCGGCUCAACCGGGGAACUGCGCUUCAAACCGCCGGACUUGAGGGAGACAGAGGUGGGCGGAACAGAUGGUGGAGCGGUGAAAUGCGUUGA